UGCAGAGUAGAGAAGUGGCUGUCUCAUCAGGUUCAUAUCCUGAGUUAUGCGUGGUUCGAAUCCCGCCUCUGCAACCA
rnacentral:tRNA from 1 species